UUUUUUAAAUGGAAUAUUUCUAUUUUGUGAACUUUCCUUUUUAAUGAAAUCAUAUUAUAUAUACAUAUAUUUUCGUUUUAAAUUUGUUUUUAAAACCUUAUAAUGUUUCCUUUUUUAUUAUAUAUCAUAUUUGGAAAUUUUUAAAAAGGAAAAUAUAUAAAAUAUUCAAUAAUAGUAUUUAAAUGUAAUAUUUUUAAUUCAUUAAGGAUAUCAGUGUAAUCAACCAUCGUGAGAAUUAACGUGAACGCGACACAUAAGAAACUGACUUCUCAAAUAAUAUUAAAGAGAUAGUAGCACUAAUCAUAGAAAUAACAAUUAAUAUGUGCAAUGUAAUUAAAUGCUUUCAGGUUAGAUUUAACUUUGGCUGUAAAAAAUUUCUUUUUUUGUUUGAUUAAUUUUACAUUCCACUAAAAAAGUAAGAAUUAGACAUGUGAAAUUUGGUUUUGAACCAGGUGAUGGUGGUUUAAUAGUAUGUGGGUUUUCAAUUUCUAAGUAACUUGAUUCGAAGGCAUUCCACUACAUAAAUUAUCAUUAAGAUUAUAUAACUAUUCUCAUAAUUACAUUUAUACUAUCGAGUAUCGUGCCAUCUCCUAAGAUGGUUGCUAUUUGGGAACCUCGAAAUCACCUCCAAUGUGGUGGUCAAUGAAAAUUACGCUUCCGACGGAGGGAAAGGGAUGGUGGAUCGAGACCACCUACAGAAAGACAUCUCUAUUGAAAUUUAUUUUAGGAAUCACUACACCAGAUGCUUAACGACAUUAAUGAUCUAGCGUUGGGAAAAUAUGAACAAAUGAUUAUUAGCAAAUAGAUUGGUUCAGGUAAGUAAAUUAGAUUCUAAAUUAAGUAGGAGUGUUCAACUCAGAUUUGAGUUCAGUUUCGGUUUGGUUUUUCUAUAUAUAAUAAUUAGAUACCAUAUUAAUACUAUACUUUGUUUCGGUUUGAUUUGGUUCGGUUUGUAUACUAUUGGUUUUUUAUUUAUUCAGUUUUAUAACCAAAACCAUAACUAUAUUUAUCUUUUAUAAAAAAAUUAGUUUAUAUGAUUAGAAAUAAGUUUUUAAAACAUAAAUAUAUAUUCCGUACUCAAAUUUAAAUAGAAUAUUUUAUGUUUUUAUUUACUUAUUAAAUUUAAAAAAUAAUAAUAUCAUUAUAUUAUUAAAUAAAUUUAUUUAGCUCAAAUAUUUACCAAUAACAAAAUAAAAAAUAAUAUUUUAUUUAAUUUGAUCAAAAUGAGAAAGAUAAAAUAACCUUUUUUAACUUUUAACUUAAAACAAAACAAAUAGAUAUUAAAAUCAAUGUUUAAAAAAUGAAUAUCAUAUUAAUAAAAAAAAUUAUGUAUCUAUUAUUAAUUGUAUUAUAAAAUGAGAAAUCGCACUCAACGAAAAAAAAUAUUUUAGUAAUAACCAUAGUAACUCAUGGCCAGAAUAUUAUACAUAUUAUUGACUAAUGUGACGAAAAUACCUUCUGCUUUAUGCUUUUUGUUCAAGCUCACUUGUGUGUUUUAUUAGAAAGAAGAGAAUACAGAAGAGGCGUGAAGCCACAUCCAAUUUUUUAUAAACACUUAGGAUAUCGAUUUCUAGGAGGUGUGAAAGGAUGGUUUUUGGGUAGGGUUUCCAUUGUUUUUUUGGUGGUUGGGAAGAGUAUUAAUCGACGAUAUAUUUGAAGUUAGGGUUUGAACAGGUGAAGUCGGUGUAUGGUGGUUGUGUCAAGGAUACAACAAAGGCCAACAUCGGACCUGGUGGGUAGGUGCGUCAUACAAUGAGCCCAAGGACCAUUUUCGUCAAGUGUUUCCGGUGAAACAGAAGUAAAGGGGGUAAAUCAAUUACUGAUAAGAUUUUCGCUACAAUUAAUUGUAGAAUACAAUGUAAUUGUUAGGUAUAGAGGUAGUGUAAAUGAUUGCCGGAAAUAUGAGGCGUGUUCAAGACCACCGAGUUGAGACUCGGUUUCCCGGAUCCGAGUCACCCAAGUGAGCAUCCAAAUGAUUAUGAUCCUUCUUGUUGAUCUUGAAUUGAUUUUGUUUCAUCCUCUUCGUUUUUAAUAAUAGCACAUCUCACUUGUAGCAACAAAAGUUUUGAUUUUUAAGCUAUACAGGUCCAUUUAUUACUUGUCGA